rnacentral:rRNA from 1 species
AUAAACCCGGGAAACUGGGUAUAAUACCCGAUAGAUCUCGGCUGCUGGAAUGCAUCGAGCUCUAAAGCUCCGGCGCCUGAGGAUGGGUCUGCGGCCUAUCAGGUAGUAGUGGGUGUAGCGUACCUACUAGCCUACGACGGGUACGGGUUGUGAGAGCAAGAGCCCGGAGAUGGAUUCUGAGACACGAAUCCAGGCCCUACGGGGUGCAGCAGGCGCGAAAACUUUACAAUGCCGGCAACGGCGAUAAGGGGACCUCGAGUGCCAGGUUACAAAUCUGGCUGUCGUGAUGCCUAAAAAGCAUUGCAUAGCAAGGGCCGGGCAAGACCGGUGCCAGCCGCCGCGGUAACACCGGCGGCUCGAGUGGUAACCGUUAUUAUUGGGUCUAAAGGGUCUGUAGCCGGCCGGAUAAGUCUCUUGGGAAAUCCAGCAGCUUAACUGUUGGGCUUUCAGGAGAUACUGUCUGGCUCGAGGCCGGGAGAGGUGAGAGGUACUUCAGGGGUAGGGGUGAAAUCUUGUAAUCCUUGAAGGACCACCAGUGGCGAAGGCGUCUCACCAGAACGGACCUGACGGCAAGGGACGAAAGCUAGGGGCACGAACCGGAUUAGAUACCCGGGUAGUCCUAGCCGUAAACGAUACUCGCUAGGUGUCGGCCACGGUGCGACCGUUGUCGGUGCCGUAGGGAAGCCGUGAAGCGAGCCACCUGGGAAGU